rnacentral:rRNA from 1 species
AGAGUUAAACAGUACGUGAAAUUGUUGAAAGGGAAACGAUUGAAGCCAGUCGUACUGGCGGGAAAUCAACUUCUCGAGUGCUUGUCGUGGAUGACGUUGAGCCUCACGGCCUUUGUUGUUUGCGUUAUGGUGCUUUUGAGGUGUACUUUUCCGUAAGUAGGUCAACAUCGAUUUUGAUCGUCAUAAAAUGAUCGGAGGAAUGUGGCUCUGAUUUCGGUUGGAGUGUUAUAGCCUUUGGUAGAUGUGACGAUUGGGAUCGAGGAUUGCAACGAAUACCCUUUGGGCUAUCCGUCUGACCUCUGAUGGUAGGCUCGGGUGUCGAAAGCUUGCUUAUAGCUAUUCAAGUUGGCGGUCAAAAGGUUAGAACGUGAUUACAUUCGUUAAGGAUGUUGGCGUAAUGGCUUUAAACGACC